GGGAGUGAAAUAGAACCUGAAACCCUGCACUUACAAGCUGUGGAAGCACAUUUCUUGUGUGACCUGUUACUUUUUGUAGACCGGUCCAACGAGUUACGUGAAGUAGCAAGGUCAAGCACUUAAGGUGUGGUGCCGUAGCGAAAGAGAGUUUUAACUGAUCGUUCAGUUACUUGACGUAGACCCGAAACCGGGCGUCCUACCCAUGAGCAGGAUGAAGCGAAAGUAAAAUGUCGUGGUGGUCCUAACUCACGAGCGUUGAAAAGCUCGGGGAUGACUUGUGGGUAGCGGUGAAAUUCCAAUCGAGCCCGGAGAUAGCUGGUUCUCCCCGAAAUAGCUUUAGGGCUAGCCUCAAGGUGA
rnacentral:rRNA from 1 species